UUCCCUAUACCUAAAGGUUUCUAAACUAAAUCCUGGAUCCCAAAUCUUUCCCGUAAGGGAAGUCUUCAUAAUCACCAAGGGUGAUUCUCCUUAACACUACACUUAACUGUCUAACUGAUCCCCCAAACUGACUAUAUAUCUAUCCUAAAAUGAAUAUAUAAGUUAAUAAUUAAACGCCUUUCCUUAUCAUUUGUCUCCAAGAUUCAGUGUCUCUUGUCUCUUCCGCUGUUAAGCAUUCAGCUUCUGACAAAUUCACAGAAGCUGCUCUAUUCUGCCCCCUGCUGGGCUCUGUCCAUCCCCUGCAGUCUCACAGGAAAUGGCCAAGUCAGACUCUCUCACAGAUGAUCUGCUUUCAAUCUUCUUCCAAAUCUCCAGCUGCCUUUAGGUGAGAUGAAAAAGAAAUAAUACAGUGUUUCUCAGGAGCAAUCACUAAGCCUUCCCAUCUCAAAUCUACCAUGAAAAGACUUGGACAAUACUGGAUAUUCAGUGGAUAUUCAAGAAUGGAAGUGAAGUGAAAGAAGAGUGAAGUAUGUUGAGAUUUUGUAUUUGGGCAAACAAUUUUGCCUUUACCCUUUUUACUUUUUGCCUUUAUCCCUGGGACUCAGAAUUGUUGGGAGGGACCUCCUGUUGAUCAUGCUAGAGACAAGAAAUAUUUAGACACAGGACUUGGACUACAAGAGAUCACACCAUCAUUGACGCUCCUAGGGACCUGAAAUUGAGCUGUUGCUAACAAAAAAACUACCUAAGGUCAGUGAUGCACAGGUAAUCCAAAUGGUUUCAGAAAUCAGAGACUGAAUGACUGAUGUGAUUGGGCAAACAAAACUGGAGGAGGGGGGACCUUCAUAAUCUGAUGAAGAGGCAAGAAUAUAGAUUUAUAUUUCAGAACAUUUUGUCUUUCCUUUUCUCUUCUGUUCUUGUCUAGGACCCAGUUGGAAUCUAGUCCCUAGCCCUCCUCUCAUUCUCACCUAUGAGUACAAGAGGAGGUUGAAAAAUAUGGUUUAGGAAGAAUACCCAUAUAAAAGUACUGAAGACUUAUUCCUUGAAUUUUUGCUUUAUUAAGUAAAGUAUAUAGCAAAAAAAAAUUUUUUUUCAGAGGAUCGUAGUUUCUGUGAUCUGACAUCACUUAUUUCCUUAGGGAAGAACUUUCAGAUAUGGGAUGAAGGCAUGGCAAGUCAU
rnacentral:lncRNA from 1 species